GGAAGUAGAAGUCGUAACAAGGUCUCCGUAGGUGAACCAGCGGAGGGAUCAUUACAGAGUUCAUGCCCUACCGGGUAGAUCUCCCACCCUAUGUUAUUAUUACUUUGUUGCUUUGGCGGGCCGUUAGGCUCCGGCCCGACUACCGGCCCCGGCUGGUAAGCGCCCGCCAGAGGACCCAAAACCCUGAAUAUUAGUGUCGUCUGAGUACUAUAUAAUAGUUAAAACUUUCAACAACGGAUCUCUUGGUUCUG
rnacentral:misc_RNA from 1 species